GUCUCUGUCGAGCAAUGGAUAGCGCGUUGGAUAUGUAAUUCAAAGGUCGUGAGUUCGAUUCCCACCUGGGAUG